rnacentral:rRNA from 1 species
AGUCGAACGCCCCGCAGGGGAGUGGCAGACGGGUGAGUAACGCGUGGGAACAUACCCUUUCCUGCGGAAUAGCUCCGGGAAACUGGAAUUAAUACCGCAUACGCCCUACGGGGGAAAGAUUUAUCGGGGAAGGAUUGGCCCGCGUUGGAUUAUCUAGUUGGUGGGGUAAAGGCCUACCAAGGCGACGAUCCAUAGCUGGUCUGAGAGGAUGAUCAACCACAUUGGGACUGAGACACGGCCCAAACUCCUACGGGAGGCAGCAGUGGGGAAUAUUGGACAAUGGGCGCAAGCCUGAUCCAGCCAUGCCGCGUGAGUGAUGAAGGCCUUAGGGUUGUAAAGCUCUUUCACCGAUGAAGAUAAUGACGGUAGUCGGAGAAGAAGCCCCGGCUAACUUCGUGCCAGCAGCCGCGGUAAUACGAAGGGGGCUAGCGUUGUUCAGAAUUACUGGGCGUAAAGCGCACGUAGGCGGAUAUUUAAGUCAGGGGUGAAAUCCCGCAGCUCAACUGCGGAACUGCCUUUGAUACUGGGUAUCUUGAGUAUGGAAGAGGUAAGUGGAAUUCCGAGUGUAGAGGUGAAAUUCGUAGAUAUUCGGAGGAACACCAGUGGCGAAGGCGGCUUACUGGUCCAUUACUGACGCUGANGUGCGAAAGCGUGGGGAGCACACAUGAUUANAUACCCCUGGUAGUCCACGCCGUACACGAUGAANGUUAGCCCGUCGGUCAGUAUACUGAUUCGGUUGGCGCAGCUAACGCA